AAGCAGUGGAAUCAAAGCAGAGUAUGAAUCAGAAUUGCUUAGGUAUUUUUUGCCAAUAACAAUUAAAAUACGUUUAUGGAAGCAGCUUGUGCUUUGAGAAGCCCAGUUUUAUUCUGUCUUAUGAAACUAAUUUCCACUUUGAAAACUGUUCUUCUUUUGUUCACGGCAUAAAUGAAUGGAAUAAAAUGAUACUCUACUUCUACAAGACAAAGCAUUUCCUUAAAAUGUUUGCUAUGUUAAGCUGUGCUGUUCAUCUGAUGGAUAUUUUAAAUUAAUAAUGACAACCAUAAUUUUAAAUACUUGUUAGACACAUUGUAAUCUUAAAUGGAAAGACUAAAUUCUGCAAGUACUGUAUAAUAUUUUUUGCUUAUAAUGCUACAUUUUUAUUAAUGUACCUUCUGUUUUGAGGAUUUAUAUCUGUAUUUCUCUUUGCAUUAUACAAAUAUACCAGUAUUUU